UACGUAGGGUGCAAGCGUUGUCCGGAAUUAUUGGGCGUAAAGAGCUCGUAGGCGGUUUGUCGCGUCUGCUGUGAAAUCUGGGGGCUCAACCCCCAGCCUGCAGUGGGUACGGGCAGACUAGAGUGCGGUAGGGGAGAUUGGAAUUCCUGGUGUAGCGGUGAAAUGCGUAGAUAUCUGGAGGAACACCGGUGGCGAAGGCGGCAUCCUGGACCGGCAUUGACGCUGAGGAGCGAAAGCCAGGGGAGCAAACGGG
rnacentral:rRNA from 1 species